ACAUUUAUUUUCCAUUUAAUUACUCUGUAUAAUUUAUUUCAGAAUAAAAAUAUUGAGAUAAUAAAACGGCAUUGGCUCACUAUAAUGCUAUAAUGCUUCUGAUAUUCAUCGAACCUGGGUAAUUGUGGCAAUUUUAGAGCUAAACUGUGAAGCUCAAGUUUGAAGAAUUGGCGCAUAUGGAGAAAAUUCCUGCCUUAUUAGCUCCUGAUGGUAAUUUAUGCGCCUACCAUAGUGGGAACGAGCAUUGGAAAAUAAAGACUCGAUUCAAAGAGGGAGCUUGGAAACGGCUAUUAUAUCUUGGGAAGGCAGCAGGCAAAUUACUCCCCUUCAGUGUGAGGAGGGCAGGUAUUGGAGUGGGUAUGAUUCUGACCUGUUAGCAAGAAUCUAUGAGAGGACAAGUGUGGUCCCAGCAGCCGCGGUAAUUCCACCAGCUCAAAAGGU
rnacentral:ncRNA from 1 species